UGGCUCAGGACGAACGCUGGCGGCGUGCUUAACACAUGCAAGUCGAACGAUGAACCGCUUUCGGGCGGGGAUUAGUGGCGAACGGGUGAGUAACACGUGGGCAAUCUGCCCUGCACUCUGGGACAAGCCCUGGAAACGGGGUCUAAUACCGGAUAUGACUGUCCAUCGCAUGGUGGAUGGUGUAAAGCUCCGGCGGUGCAGGAUGAGCCCGCGGCCUAUCAGCUUGUUGGUGAGGUAGUGGCUCACCAAGGCGACGACGGGUAGCCGGCCUGAGAGGGCGACCGGCCACACUGGGACUGAGACACGGCCCAGACUCCUACGGGAGGCAGCAGUGGGGAAUAUUGCACAAUGGGCGAAAGCCUGAUGCAGCGACGCCGCGUGAGGGAUGACGGCCUUCGGGUUGUAAACCUCUUUCAGCAGGGAAGAAGCGAAAGU
rnacentral:rRNA from 1 species